GGGGAUUUAGCUCAGUGGGAGAGCGCUUGCCUAGCAAGCACAAGACCCUGGGUUCAGUCCCCA
rnacentral:tRNA from 1 species